rnacentral:rRNA from 1 species
GACGAACGCUGGCGGCGUGCUUAACACAUGCAAGUCGAACGGUAAGGCUCCAGCUUGCUGGGGUACACGAGUGGCGAACGGGUGAGUAACACGUGGGUGACCUGCCCUGCACUUCGGGAUAAGCCUGGGAAACUGGGUCUAAUACCGGAUAGGACCGCACCGUGAGGGUGUGGUGGAAAGUUUUUUCGGUGUGGGAUGGGCCCGCUGCCUAUCAGCUUGUUGGUGGGGUAAUGGCCUACCAAGGCGGCGACGGGUAGCCGGCCUGAGAGGGUGGACGGCCACAUUGGGACUGAGACACGGCCCAGACUCCUACGGGAGGCAGCAGUGGGGAAUAUUGCACAAUGGGCGGAAGCCUGAUGCAGCGACGCCGCGUGGGGGAUGACGGCCUUCGGGUUGUAAACUCCUUUCACCAUCGACGAAGGGUUUCUGACGGUAGAUGGAGAAGAAGCACCGGCUAACUACGUGCCAGCAGCCGCGGUAAUACGUAGGGUGCGAGCGUUGUCCGGAAUUACUGGGCGUAAAGAGCUCGUAGGUGGUUUGUCGCGUCGUCUGUGAAAUUCCGGGGCUUAACUCCGGGCGUGCAGGCGAUACGGGCAUAACUUGAGUACUGUAGGGGAGACUGGAGUUCCUGGUGUAGCGGUGAAAUGCGCAGAUAUCAGGAGGAACACCGGUGGCGAAGGCGGGUCUCUGGGCAGUAACUGACGCUGAGGAGCGAAAGCAUGGGGAGCGAACAGGAUUAGAUACCCUGGUAGUCCAUGCCGUAAACGGUGGGCGCUAGGUGUGGGUUUCCUUCCACGGGAUCCGUGCCGUAGCUAACGCAUUAAGCGCCCCGCCUGGGGAGUACGGCCGCAAGGCUAAAACUCAAAGGAAUUGACGGGGGCCCGCACAAGCGGCGGAGCAUGUGGAUUAAUUCGAUGCAACGCGAAGAACCUUACCUGGGCUUGACAUAUACAGGAUCGCGCCAGAGAUGGUGUUUCCCUUGUGGCUUGUAUACAGGUGGUGCAUGGUUGUCGUCGGCUCGUGUCGUGAGAUGUUGGGUUAAGUCCCGCAACGAGCGCAACCCUUGUCUUAUGUUGCCAGCACGUUGUGGUGGGGACUCGUAAGAAACUGCCGGGGUUAACUCGGAGGAAGGUGGGGAUGACGUCAAAUCAUCAUGCCCCUUAUGUCCAGGGCUUCACACAUGCUACAAUGGUCGGUACAGUGGGUUGCCAGUCCGUGAGGGCGAGCUAAUCCCGCAAAGCCGGUCUCAGUUCGGAUCGGGGUCUGCAACUCGACCCCGUGAAGUCGGAGUCGCUAGUAAUCGCAGAUCAGCAACGCUGCGGUGAAUACGUUCCCGGGCCU